rnacentral:tmRNA from 1 species
UCCGUUGCCUUUGCGGUCGGGCUACCCUAUAUCUUGUCUGUCGGGCAACCGACUAUGGCGAUAAAUGGCUUACGAAAUAAGCGUUGCGGACCCGGGGGCGGUACCCGGCGCCUCCACCAAUUCACCGCCAGCCGCCGAAUCGCGGCGCUGGCGGCCUACGGGGGCGAAACAGGCUCGACGCGCGUAGUAAAGGUAUUGUUUUCGCCCGGUAUGAUACCACCGUUAUCGGGUCAAAAACUUAGCUGCGAACGAUAACUUCGCACAUGAGGCUCUUGCUGCCUAACCCUUCACGGGGUGAAAUUAGCAGGUAACUCGCGGUUCGAGGGGCACCGGGCAACAGAAGCCCCUCACU